rnacentral:rRNA from 1 species
UACAGAGGUCUCAAGCGUUGUUCGGAUUCAUUGGGCGUAAAGGGUGCGUAGGCGGCGCUGUAAGUCGGGUGUGAAAUCUCGGAGCUUAACUCCGAAACUGCAUUCGAUACUGCCGUGCUUGAGGACUGGAGAGGAGACUGGAAUUUACGGUGUAGCGGUGAAAUGCGUAGAUAUCGUAAGGAAGACCAGUGGCGAAGGCGGGUCUCUGGGCAUUAACUGACGCUGAGGAGCGAAAGCAUGGGGAGCGAACAGG